rnacentral:rRNA from 1 species
CGCGCACGGGUGAGUAACACGUAUCCAACCUGCCGAUAACUCGGGGAUAGCCUUUCGAAAGAAAGAUUAAUAUCCGAUAGUAUAUUAAAACCGCAUGGUUUUACUAUUAAAGAAUUUCGGUUAUCGAUGGGGAUGCGUUCCAUUAGUUUGUUGGCGGGGUAACGGCCCACCAAGACUACGAUGGAUAGGGGUUCUGAGAGGAAGGUCCCCCACAUUGGAACUGAGACACGGUCCAA